UUUUUUUUUUGAGACAGAGUUUCGCUCUUGUUACCCAGGCUGGAGUGAAAUGGCGCAAUCUCGGCUCACCACAACCUCCGCCUCCUGGGUUCAGGCAAUUCUCCUGCCUCAGCCUCUAAGUAGCUGGGGUUACAGGUACGCGACACCAUGCCCAGCUAAUUGUUUUGUAUUUUUAGUAGAGAUGGGGUUUCACCAUGUUGACCAGGAUGGUCUCGAUCUCUUGACCUCGUGAUCCACCUGCCUCGGCCUCCCAAAGUGCUGGGAUUACAGGCGUGAGCCACCGCGCCCGGCCUCUUUGCUUCUGUUUUUAACCGUCUAGGUUGGUGCAAACCACUGGAUUUUAAUUGAGCACCUUCUAUUUGUGCCAGGGAUUGUUAAAGAGAAAGAAGUAGCUGGUCCUCAAGUACCCACAGUGCCAUCAGGGAGACACAGUGAGUACCUAUGAACAGGUAAGGGCUGCACACAAAGAAUACUGAAGUGUACAGUGCAGAUCACAUGUUGUAGGAAUUAAAAGAAGCAGAUGGGCAGAAGCAGCCUGGGAAAGCUUUCUGGAAGAGGUAGGCCUCAACAGGUCCUUGAGGGAUUUCAGCAAGCAAAAGAAAUUGCCUACGAGAAACUAGGCAAUAAAAACAAAUUCUAGGGCAGGGCCCGGUGGCUCACUCCAGUAAUCACAACACUUUGGGAGACCAAGGCAGGCGGAUGAUCACAAGGUUGGGAGAUCAAGACCAUCCUGGCUAACACAGUGAAACCCCGUCUCUACUAAAAAUACAAAAAAUUAGCCAGGCAUGGUGGCUCAUGCCUAUAGUCCCAGCUACUUGGGAAGAUGAGGCAGGAGAAUUGCUUGAACCGGAGAGGUGGAGGUUGCAGUGAGCCAAGAUCACUCCACUGCACUCCAGCCUCAGCAACAAGAGCAAAACUCUGUCUCAAAAAAAAAGAAAAAAGAAAAAAAAAAUUCUACUUUCCCUUCUAGGAGCUAUGAUAGGCAGAAUCAUGGCCCCUUAAAAGGUGUCCAUGUCCUAAUUCCCAGAACCUGUGGAUAUGUUACCUUACAUGACAAAAAGGGACUUCAUAGAUGUGAUUAAGAUCUUGAGAUGGGGAGAGUAUUCUGGAUCAUCCAGAGGAGCCAGGGUCCUUACUAACUGAAAGUGGGAGACAGGUGAGUCAGAGUGGGAGAAGUGACAAUGAAAGCAGAAGUUGGAGUCACACAGGGUCAAGAACCAAGCGAUGCAGGUGGCCUCCAAAAGCCAGAAAAGGCAAGGAAAUGGAUUCGCCUGAAACCCCCCAGCAGUAACGCAGCCCUGCCAACACCCGCAUUUUAGCCAGUGAGACUCCUGUUGAUGUCUGUAGAACUGUAAGAUACUGUAUUUGCGUUGCUUUAAAUCACUAAGCUUGUAGCAAUUUGUUUCAGCAGAAAUAGGGAAUUAAUACAGGAGUCCUGGGUGAUAUUUUUGGGGAAACCUGGGGAGAGAGGGCAGGAUGGGGAAAUACACAGGAGGGUUUCUUUAACUUACUUGGAGGACCUUGAUUAGCAAGAACUGGGUGGUUUUCCAACCACCAAUGGCCUGAGUCGGUCGGCCUCACUGUGGCAUGUGUUCCCAUCCAAUACCUUACCACCUGGGUCUGACACUCAGAGGCUGAGCAAGACCCAGGCAUGCUACAGAUGCCAAGGGGAGCCAAGAACCAAGAAGGGGCACAGUCCCCAUUUUCCAUCCCAUCCCCACCUUGGUUUGGCCUUUCUUCUCUAAAACAGAGCUAGCUGUCAGGCUGCUCAUGAAAGCGGACCCCCCCGCCCCCAGGACAGGCAUCUUUGUUCAAGGGAGGAAAGAGAGCCAACCCUUCUUUAUUUUUGAGACAGAGUCUUGCUCUGUCGCCAUGCUGGAGUGCAGUGGCGCAAUCUCGGCUCACUGCAAGCUCCGUCUCCCAGGUUCAGGCGAUUCUUCAGCCUCAGCUGGGACUACAGGCAUGUGAUCCUACGCCCAGCCAAUUUUUACAUUUUUAGUAGAGAUGAGGUUUCACCAUGUUGGCCAGGAUGGUCUCAAUCUCUUGACCUCAUGAUCUGCCUGCCUCAAUCUCCUAAAGUGCUGGGAUUACAGGUAUGAGCCACCUCGCCCAGCCAAGUGCCACUCCUUCUAACCAUAUCUGGCUCCAGUCCAGGUCAGCCUUCAGGGAUGAAGUCACUCUGGCUCCCCGUCUCCCACACACUCAAGGUUAAACAGUCCCACCACUCCCUCAGUAGGCCUUGGAGCUCUGCAAAAUACAAGGGGACCAGCUCUCAGUCACAGAAGCUGUGUCUCGGGCCAGUCCCUCUCAUCCUGACUCCAACAUGGCUGCUCCUUUCCACCCCAGCUUAUCAAAACUGCACAUUUCCGGCAUAUCCUCCCCGAAAUCAGUUAUUUUUAAACCUCAUUAAGAGCAACUCACCCCCUCACUUCCCCCAGCCCGAAAGCUGGGCCAGAUAAGUGUCAGUCUGGAUCUUGACCCACAGUGCCAGGCACCCACACCAUCAACUGGGGGAAGGCAGGCGGGGUGGGGUGGCUGAGGUCUGAAGAGAAAGCAAGACAAGCAGCUGCGCCCUCCCCUAAGGGUGGCCAUAGAAACCUCUAACCUCUGAUGCACGGGGAAUGGCUGGAAGACAGGUAGGAGGAGGAAGGGGCUAAGGGCUACUGCCACCAGUAAGCCCCCUUUCUGCAGCCCAGUUCCACACCUCUCUUCUGGGAGUGGCUGUGCUCUAGUCACCUGGGUCUCUCAGGACUGUGUUUCCAGAGACCAAGUGGCCUGAGGCUCAGGGAUUACCAUGGCACAGGUAAAGAAAGGACAGGACAACGAUUAACCUGGAUGCUGGGGAUAAGAGCAGAGAAGAGACUGAGGCCAGACCCUUCCAGGGCCCCCCAACCCCCAAGGCAGGACAAACUUGGCCUCCUAGACCCACCACUGGGUGGAAAGUGGAGGCUAAGGGCCCCCCACCCCCACUCCGGGGCCUGGACACAGCUGGCAGGGUCACGGCCUCCAGCUGUAGUGCAUCUGCUCCACUGUGGGGCCAUUGCCCUCCAGCUCUGAGGUGCCAGAGCCACAGGGCGGAGUCCUGAGAAGGGGCAGUUCCAGCCAGGCCAGCAGCUGUUUCUCCUCCCCACCCCCACGGGCAGGCAGGAGCUGAUGGGCUGCGGCUGCUGGAGCUGGGAAGGUCCAGCCCAGGGACCCCCAGGGGACCUGCCCCUGCCCUCCCUAAAUCAUAAAGAAAACAGCAAGCAAGUUGCCUACCAGGGUGGGGAGAAGAGAUAUGCCCAGCUGCAAGAUAGGUGUGGGGGACCCCCAGAGCUGGGGAACCCAAGGGAAGGCGGCAGCUGAAAAAGCUGGGGGAUGGGCUGGCAGCGAGCAAUCUAAACCCUAGUGCUACAGCAGCCGGGAGGACAACCCUCACCCUCACCCUGGAGUUACAAUAGGCGGGAAAUGGGGAGGGGCCACGCCAGGCACUCGGCCCCACCCAGACCCUGGGCUGGAAGCUUACCUCACCAACGCCAAAGCCAAAGAAAAGGCGGACACGAGUGGGGGAGGGGAGACUUCAGGGUUCUUGGCUAGGGUGUUUCAUUGGGAAGACAAAGGGACUCCCAUCCUCCGUGCAGAUGGGACACGAGGGAACUUCCCAACUCAGAUUUGGGGCAGAGACUGUUCCUAAGGAGCACAGUGAGGGCACCAGCCCACUAAGCGAGGUGCCACAGGCAGCCGCAAGGAUGGGGGCGGCCCACUGUUAAGGGAAUCACCUUAGGGCAGCCCCUCACCACCAACACUCAGGAGCAGAAGAGAAAGCUGAGGCUACACAAACAGGAAGCUCCAAGGCUUGCGUGGGAGGAGGGAUGAGGUGGGGGCCGUUACCAUGGCUGCUGUAUACCAAACACAGUGUUGGAGGCUGGGUGGGGGCCCCGGGCAGAAACACCCGCUGCACACAGACAUUGUGGUGAGCAGGCUGUGAGCACUGGGGCAGAAGUGGGAUCGUCCCAGCAGAUCCCCGGUGUAACCAGAUACCAACUGCCCACAGAACUCCCAGGACACCAGCUGGGAACCGUUUCUCUCUGCCCCACAGAUACCAACUGCCCACAGAACACAGGGCACCGGCUCCAGUAAAGGUGCAAAAAACAAAGCAGAGGAUACUGGAAAGGCAGAAGAAAGCCAAGGAGGUGGAGGCACUUACUGUGCAGCUGACUUCCCGGAGGGAGAGAAGAUAAGAGAUGGAUCUGGAAGGGCACGAGAAUAGUAGGUGACACAGGCAAAAACCAAGGCCUUCCGGGCGCAGACUCUCUCACCCAACACCAGGCGCCCCACCCCAUCUGGCUUGGAAAAGCGCAGGCAGGACCAGAUGCAGAACCGAGAGAAGGCACCUGGCUCACACAGGAGGGAGGGAUUUUCCCCAGGUGCUCACCGGAAGUGGAGACGUUGGCCGUGUUGCUGGGGUCGCUGACGUAGCUGCCCGCGAAGGCCACGAGGCGGAACUCGUAGAAGACAUCCUGCCACGGGGAUGGGGUGCCAGGAGGGAGGUCAGGGCCCAGCACCGCCCAUCCCAGCGGAGCUCGGAAAGACUGUGCAGGCGGGGCAGAAGGGUGAGGUGGGACCCGGAGGUGAAGAACUCAAAUCAAGAUGAGAAGAUGGGGUCUGGGGAAUGGAGGAGGACGCAGGAGAGCCCCUGGGAGGCCGCUCCCUGUAUCGCCUCCCGCACAUACCUUGAUGAGGCCUGGCACCAGCAGCUCUGUUUCUGUGCCUGCCACAGCCGGGUCCAGCACCUCCCAGCCCUGGGACCCCUGCCGUCCUUCCAAGACGUAGCCAUCCAGUGUCUUAGGGACCAGCUCUGGGGGAUCCCAAUGCAGGAGUACUCCCCGGGGUGUUCUCACUGCCACCAGACCUCGUGGAGGGGACAGGGGAGGCGGCACCUCUGUCGGGGGAAGCAUGGGCGCAGCUGGUGUGGUAGGAAGCCCUGCAUGGGGCAGAUAGGCAGGUCAGAGAAGGGAUUCCCAGCUCCCCUCCCCUGACCUUCCAUGCCCCCCAGUGCCCAACUCUUCUCCCAGAGCCCCUAAAGACAAGCCCAAGUCAUCUUCCACACACCCCUCUGGACCCCAAGCUGCCCAGCACCUCUGCCCCUUCCCAUCCAGGACCUCCCAUAUCCAGCUUUCCUAGUGGCCCUUUCCCAUCCUUGUCUCUGCUGUUCUGGGAUGAGAAGCCUCUCACCUUCAGGAGCAGACAGGACGAUUUCGCUGAAGGGACCACUCCCCAGCUUGUUCUGAGCUAGCACGCUGAACUGGUACUGGGUGUGAGGCUGCAGCCCUGGCACUAGGAGGUGGGCAGCCCCCACAGGCACUGCCAAGGACACCCAGUCAUGGUGUAUUCGGUCAGGACGCUUGGCCCUGGGAGACAUGAAGACAUAGGGGGCACCUCAUGAGCUAGGAAGAUCUGGGGUCCACAGAUCUAACCAACUCCCUCUGCUCGACCAUCCAAGGUCUUUGGACCUUGGCCCUGAAUGACUCAGAGUCUGGAAACAGGGAAGCAGAGCCAGGACCGGUGAGGGAUUGAGGAAGAAAGGGCACAAGGCCAGAUAGGUUCAAGGAGGAGAGGAAAGGAGGCAAGGUUGGUGCAGAGAAAUGACAGGAGCAAGUCACUCACAGUGGGGUGUACCAGACACUGAAUCUCUGCAGAUAGCCACCGUCAAAGCCAGGCUCCCAGGAGACAUUGACACCCUUGGGCAAAGGCACCACGGAUACAUUGGUGACAACAUGAGGGCUAGUGCCUGGGGAGGGGCAUGGAGGGAGUGAUGGUGGUCAGGGCCUGAGGGGAUAUAGAAAGCCACAGGGGCCCCAGGACCACUGACCUUCACCCAUCAUCAUCCCAGGUCUCCCACACCCAUGAUCCCCUUUCUGGCCCUCUAAAAACGUUCCCCCAUCUCCUAUCCCACGUGGUUUCUCCCAGCCCGGGGCCCUCUCUCCAGCCACUAACCCAGCACAUGGACAUUCGUGGAGGUGGCCACUCGGGCCACAGCAUUGCUGGCACUGCAUUCCCAGCGUCCAUGGGCCUCCUUGGUCAAUGGUCGCAAGACGAGGCUGCUGUUGCUGUCCACCUGGGCCUGGCCUUGCAGCCCCCGGCCCACCUACAGAACCACUGGUGAGCCCUGAGGACACACGCAGCCACCCCUCACCAAGGGCGCCCCUCAUCUCUCCAAGCAGCUCCAGUUCCUCCCCACCCUGCCUCUGACAGCCCACACCUUCCCACAUCCUCCCUCCCACAAAAUGGGGCACAUAGUAGGUGCAGGUAUAGGCAGAGCAGGCUCAGAAGGCUUACCUUGGCCCAAGAGACAAUAGGAGGAGGGUCCCCUCGGGCAGAGCAGGGGAUGAGUAGCUCCCGCCCUACUUCUUGGAAAUAUUCUUCCUUGGGCCGUUCUAUAAAAGCUGGAGGAGCCUGCAAGCCAGAUCUGGCAUCGGGAGGGGCCCUCUCUUACACUGCUGUCUAAGGCUGGCUACUCCUCGGCUCUGCGAUCCUUGUCAUGCUAUGCCUCACCUCACUCUUCUCACCCCCUAACUAAACACCUACCAAGCCUGUCUCCACCUCAUUCUCUCUCCAUCUCUCAAUUCUGCUCUAGCUCUGUGUCUGUUCCCCAGUGGGUAGGGGCUGGAGGGAAAUGGUGGCUGCCAGUAAGGACUGGCAGGCUUGGGCAGGACUCUCGGAGAUGUACAAACCUCUGCAGAACAUUCUUUCUCCCAGAACCCCAGAGAGGGAGGCAGCAUGGUCAAGGUUAGUGAGAGGGGGCGGACAGGGUAUCUUACUGUGUCUGACUGAUGUCCCACCUCCCGAGCACCACCUCUGCGGAAACCUCUAGGUUGGCAUCAGGCAGCUGCCGCCAUGGCCACCAUGGGAGACAGACUUGGGAGCCUCUCCCCAUGUGUCUUCCCCACCCCACCCCCAUCAGCCUGGCCCCCACUGUCACCACAGGUCCCCACCCACCCCCGGCCUCACCUUGAGCAGCACGCGGGUCACAGGGGAGGGCCCGGCAGUACCAAGACUGUUGUAGGGGGUGCAGGAGUAUUCUCCCAGGGCAUCCUCGUUCCCCAGGGCAAUGAUCAGUGAGCCUUCUGUGCCCUGGGACCAGCCAGGAAACUGGAAGGAAGAGGAGGUGACAGCUAGAGAGAAGAGCUCAGCAGAGGCAAGCCCGGGAUGGCAGUGCAAGAGAGGGAGCAGGACGAGAAACCCAGAGCUGUGCAGAGGACUCCACAGCUCCAUGUCUAGGCCUGACCUUUCUGAACGCCAGUGCUUCCUUUCUCCCCUUCCUACACAGGGAACCCUCCCAAUAGUGUGAGGCUGUGACUGCACAACUCCAGAGGGUGCCACUCCCAGAAAACACAGUAUGGAUGGUCACCCCUGGAGCUGGGCCACAUGGGGCUUCCUGCCUGCUGGGACUUCACCUGGCUCUUCCCAGCACUCCACAACUAAGUUCAGCAUCUUCCACCCCAAACCAGCUCCUAUUUCUCUGUUAAAGGGCCCAUCAGCCUCUUUGCUGAAGUCUGCUUCCUCAUGUUCUCUCGCUCCCCCUAGCGAAAUACCAAGCCAGUCAUCCUGGGAAGUCCCUUUUGUCUGGGCAUGAGCCCACUCAUCUUCAUGUCCUCCUCUCCAACUCAGACUCCACAACUCUUGUCUGGGUCAUUUCAGCAGCCUCAGAACCCUGCUUCCUAUGUCCAGUGUCUCCCACCACAUCCCACUGGACAAGCUCAGCCCCUGAUCAUGGCUCUGAUGCUAUCACACCAAUGCCCAACAAACUCCAGCAGCUCCAACUGCCUGUAGACUUUUUCCUUAAACAUUCAACAAAGACGUACUGAGUACUAUUGUUGUAGAAGCCCCAGGUACACUCUGACGAAAAGAUGCAAUACUAGGCCUCAACAAAUUUAUAGUCUCUGCAGACAAAAGAUCCCAAUUGCCUUGGAAUGAGGUAAUAUUAACUUGGCAUCCACAGUUCUCCCUUUUGAUGCUAACCUGUCGUUCCAGCUUUCUCUGCACCAUUCAUGUCCCUACAGGCACUCCAGCUCCCACCCAGUUGGUCAAUUCAUAAUUCCAUAAACGCACUACAUUACUUCCUGCCUCUUGGCCCUCGUUUCUGCAAUGGAAUGACUAUCUCCUCUUUGAGUCCAGUCACCAAAGUCCCAGAAUCUGUUGCUGGUCUAUCCUCACUCACCCUAAGAGGAAGGCACGAGCUCCAUCCCUGGCCUUCCAACUGUGUCUGUGUGGAAGUGUCCUCUGCCCAGACAGCGCCCACUUUAAGGAUGGAUACCUCCUUGCCCCUGCCCCCUACACAGCACCUGGUAACAAGUAUGUGUUCCCCCGGGACACACAAUUCCCCAGUCAUCAACCUUCAGUUCUGCUUUUUGACUCUUUGCCAUCAUUUUCCCCAGAGACCACCUCUCACCUUUUCCCCAAAGACACAAAACCAGCACCUUAAACCAUGAAAAUUUUCCUCGGCGGUUUUAAGUAGUUUCCUAUGCAACAUGUCUUUUUUUUUUUUUUUCUUGAGAUGGAGUCUAGCUCUGUUGCCCAGGCUGGAGUGCAGUGGCACCAUCUCAGCCCACUGCAACCUCCACCUCCCAAGUUCAAGCGAUUCUCCUGCCUCAGCCUCCUGAGUAGCUAGGAUUACAGGAGCCUGCCACCAUGCCCAGCUAAUGUUUGCAUUUUUAGUAGAGUCGGAGUUUCACUGUGUUGGCCAGGCUGGUCUUGAACUCCUGAUCUCGUGAUCCACCCACCUCAGCCUCCCAAAGUGCUGGGAGUAUAAGUGUGAGCCACGGUACCUGGCUGCAACAUGUCUUAUAACACAAAUUAAAUUCACAGAAUAUGUGUGCCACCAGUCACUGAAUUGAAUUAAAUGGAGCUAACUCCACCCAGCUGUCCUGAGCAGACUAACACCAAGUGAAGACCCUCCUUCCGCUUCCCCAAGCCAGUACCUUGUCCAGCUGCAAGGCCUUUCCAUCCUUGGUCCAGCUGACAAAGUGCAGUGGGGGGUUGGCGCGAACCGGGCAGCGGAUCACCCCCGGCAUGCCUAUGGGCAGGAGUGUCUCAGGAGGCAUAGUUGUCACCUGGGCUGGGUCUGGGGGAAAGUAGUGGCAAGUUGGGGGAGAGGGGCUUGGCCUGGCCCAGGGGAAGGGAGCAGGCUGAGGGAGAGGCCAGGGCCAGGCUUACAGAGCACGGUGAGGUAGGCAGAGGCUGAGGGUGGGUGCAGGAGGCCAUUGCUGGGCACACAGGUGUAGCGGCCGGCAUCAUCCGGCUGGGUGGCCUGCAGCCACAGGCUCCCGUCCACCAGGAUCCGCACCCGGGACUGCAGGCGGCUGCAAUGCGGCAUGUGUGAGGAGGGGUCCAGGCCUUGCCCAGCCAAGUGGCUCCUCAGAGACUGUCUGCCAAUUCCCCACCUCCACCCUCCUAAUGAUGGUGACCCGACCUAAUGUGGAAGACAUUGGUGUUGUCCUGGAACCAGCUGUAGGUGAGGUUAGCAGGGUAUGCCUCAGCGUGGCAGGCCAAGGAAACAUCCUGGGAGGCAUUGACUGUGCUGUUCUUGGGGGGCACCACGAUGACUGGGGGUCCUGUGGGGUGCACGAGGGGAGGAAGGUGGCCUCAGCCAACAGUCUUCCCAGAACCCUGAGGUCACCUCUACAACUCUUCCCAGCUCUGCCCUCUGGAAUUGUAGGGCUCAUUGUUAUGGGGCUUUGGGGAAUGGAAACAGAAGCUUCCCCCUGUAUGUAACAAGAAUUCUUCCUCUCCCUGAGACCCAUUCCUCUUUCCAAAUUCUCUCUGUUCCAUCAAGAACAACCCCAUUCAUGCAGUUCCACUGCCUAGGAAUGGUGUGUAUGUUUGGGGGAGUCAGUUUAACUGCUCAUUUGCCAUUUGUAUCCCUGCCUGUCACCUCUUGAAUCACUUCUCUGUCUCUGAGCCUAACCCAGGUACCCAAUACCUCACCUCAAGGUGCUACAGCACCCCCUGACUCCAGGCUCCCCUGUGGCUGCCACUCUAAUGGCCAUUCCUACAGAAACAGAUCCUUGUGCCACAGAACAUUUCUGCUCAGGAACCUGCAACGGCACCUGAGUCCUCCCACACUAAGUUCAAACCCAGCCCUGUGGACCUCUGCGAUCCAACCCCUCCCUACCUGGCCAGCCAUCUUUCCAUAUGUCAGCCCUCAUGAACUCUUUCAGGUCAGUGUGGGCAGCUGGCUGUCCCCCAUCUCCAUGCCUUUGCUCCCCUCAACCCCGGUGGGAAUGCCCCUCCCAAGGUCCUGGCCAUGCCACAUACCUCCUGCAAAAGCACCUCUGGCUACUGUAGUCCACUACUCUUUCCCCGCUCUGGGCAGGUACUGCAUGAGCAGUCAGUAAGAAGAGGCAUGAUGCGAGCUGACGAAAACAGCACAGACUGCAUGCCUGGCACUGAGUGCCACCUGCAUGACCUUAUUUAAUCCUCACCAGAACUUUUGUCGGGGAAAUUGUCUCCAUUUUAUAGAUGAAGAAAUGAAGGCUCAGAGGCAGAGAGAUUGUGAGGUGAGUGCCCAAGGACAGCAGGAGAGGCACCAUUCAUAUGAGGCUUCCUGAUGCCAGAGACGACACCUUUAACCAUUACCCGGCACUGCCAUUCUUACAGUACCACGGACAGCAACACUUCCCUGUUUGCCCAGUUAGUCUUACUUCCCCACAAAGAUAAUAGGCUCUACAAAGGCAUAAUCCAGGCCUUCUACUUCUCAGCUUCUAAAGGAAGGAUCUUGGCCAGGAAUUACCAUGUGCCACCAACUGGGCUCAGCUGGACCUAAGUAAAUUCUAGUAACACACCUGAGAGGUAGAUGUAAGUCUCUUUAUAAAGAUGAAGAAACUGGGACUCAGGGAGUUUACCCAGCUCACAGCCUAACACAAGCAUCUAUGCCCUGUCCACUAUAACACUACUGGGUACUAAAGAUCACUCUGUCUGCUUACUGAGCCUUUUAAAAUUAAGGUGUUGGUUUCAGAGCAACAGCCGGCAUCGGGAGCCCCCUCAGCCUCCAUGGGCCCUGCCCUCAGGCACUAAUCUCCUUCCCAUCCUGCUGUGCACCAGUUCAGCCACACGUCACAGCCCCCUUGCACAGGCGUCCCUGGACCCCAGCCCUCCCGCCAGAAGGCACCUAGCACCAGCAGCUGGGUGGCGUGGGUGGUGCUGCCCUCAGUGCUGGAGGCUUGGCAGAUGUAGACCCCAGAGCUGCCUCGCUCUACCCGGUGGAUCCGCAGCGUCCCGUUCUGCACCUAGGGAAGGAAUGGGUAAGGAAGAGUCCCUUCUCCUGCCAGCCUCAGACCCUGCACUUCUGAGGCUGGCCAGCAGAGGGAGGCAGCAGCCCAGGCUCGGGGAAAACAAUGCCAAGCCCCCUUCCCGCCCAUCUUCCAGCCUGGCCUUUGCCCCUUCUGUCCUCUGGCCCCACUGCCAGGCCCCCACCUUACCUUCACAUUCUAUCUGGUUCAUUCUGUCUACCCCCAGGACUCACUUGCACCUGGCCCUGGCCCUGGCCAAGGUCCUGUCCUCGGAGCUUCCAAGUCACACGAGGCAGGGGGCUGCCACGGGCCACACAACGCAGGGUCACAGGCUCCAGUUCCUGCACUUCCAACACAGCAGGAGGUGUCUCCUGGAAUUGAGGGGGCGCUGCGAGGGAGACAGGCAUCAGGGGCCCCAGGGGGGCUAUCAGCCCAAAGAGCUGUGUCCCAGGGCCAGGGAGACAGACCACUCAGGGCUACAGCCCGCUGCCCACCCGCCAGCCUCACAGGAAUCCCCAGCCGGGGGCCACCCUCUCUAUGAGGACUCUAUGAACCCACCCCACACUGGCCUGGGGCUGAGCCCAGACUGGAUGUCCAGAGCUGGGGAGAGAGCCACAUCCCCUCAGGAGGAGCACUGUUCUGGGAGUCAAGGGGCCUGGGUACUAGAUUCUGCUCUGCCACUAAUCAGUAGCAUGACUCAGCCCUGCCUAUGCAAUGGGGAUGAUUAUGACCUUCUUCCUACUUAGGAGUGAGAGAGAAAUAAUAAGGGCCUGAGUGAAAAGGUAUUUUGAAAAUAUAGUGCUGGCCAGGCGCAGUGUCUCACACCUGUAAUCCCAGCACUUUGGGAGGCCAAGGCGGGUGGAUCACCUGAGGUUGGGAGUUCGAAGCCAGCCUGACCAACAUGGAGAAAUCCCUUCUCUACUGAAAAAUACAAAAUUAGCCGGGAAUGGUGGCACAUGCCUGUAAUCCCAGCUACUCAGGAGGCUGAGGCAGGAGAAUCGCUUGAACUCAGGAGGUAGAGGUUGCAGUGAGCAGAGAUCACAUGAUUGCACUCCAGCCUGGGCAACAAGAGUGAAACUCCAUCUCAAAAAAAGAAAAAAGAAAGGAAGGAAAAGAAACACGAAGUGCUGUAUAUGUGAACUGUGUUUCACUCAGGGUCCAAGAGCCCCCUCUCUCCCACCCAUUUUCCUGGCCAGGGAAGCAGCAGGGAAGAGAAAGAGGAAGUUCCUGACAUAGAGCCUAGCAAACUGAUUGGAUUUAUAUUUGAAGAACCGAAAAGGGCAGCAUGGGGUGGGAUGAGAUGCAACCACUAAGUGAGCAAACAGGGCUGCCAGGAAGGGUGGGAGCUGCUUGUGAAGUGGAAAUAGAACUCCCUCUUCCCCUUUCUCCCACCAGCCAGAGAUCCCCAUUCUCCUCCACCCUGGCUUUCUCCACCACCUGCCCCCCAGCUUCAUACAGUUGACUGUCAGAUGCACCCAGGAGCCAUUAGCAAAAUCGUCUUCAGGAAUGUGCUGGUCCAGGAAGAGCACGCGGCACUCGUACCAGCCCUGGUCUUCCACCCGCAGACCCUCGAUCUGGAGAGAGGCCCCCUUCUGCAGCCGGACUCGUCCUGGGGAGGAGCCCUGAAUCAAGGGUGCUGAAGGGACCCCAUGAGAGCCCCAAUUUCCUGGUCACACGGGUAAUUCGUAGAAUGUCCUCGUCUGUAAAAAGAAGAGAAAGAAACAGAAUUGAGGUGGGGUAGAGGAGAGGAAUAAUGCAGGGAAGGUGCGUAGCAUGGUGCCUGGCGUCCGUGGAUGCUCAAAUAAACGUUGUGGAACAAAUAAAUGAGCUCUAGAUUUGAAAUUAGAAAGCUGCACUCAAGUCCUGGCUCUGUCCCUAAACUGAUCACACGUCUUCCUUUUCUCUCCCUGUAUCAGUGAACAGCACCACCACACACCAAGUCACCUCAUCAGGAACCUGGCAUCUCUGAGAUUUCUGGAUUACCUCCCGUAUUUACUUGCUCAUUAAGUUUUCAAAUCCUACCUCCUAAACCUUUUCCCUCCUCUG